rnacentral:lncRNA from 1 species
AAAGCAGCAAAUCACCAUGGAAACAAUGAACACAUUGUCUUUUCUCUUGAAAACCUUAACAGUUGUCAUAUCCAUUUCAACCCCAACAUCACAAUCACCCAUUCAAAAUUUUCUCAAUUGUUUUUCUCAUUAUUCUCAAUCUUCGAAUUAUCCUAUUUCUAAAGUCCUUUACACAUCAUACAACCCUUCAUUCUAAACCAUCCUAUAC